rnacentral:rRNA from 1 species
UACGUAGGGUGCGAGCGUUGUCCGGAAUUAUUGGGCGUAAAGAGCUCGUAGGCGGUCUGUCGCGUCGGUCGUGAAAACUUGGGGGCUUAACCCUGAGCUUGCGGUCGAUACGGGCAUCACUGGAGUUCGGCAGGGGAGACUGGAAUUCCUGGUGUAGCGGUGAAAUGCGCAGAUAUCAGGAGGAACACCGGUGGCGAAGGCGGGUCUCUGGGCCUUACCUGACGCUGAGGAGCGAAAGCGUGGGGAGCGAACAGG